UGUACUUCAGAGUGAAUGUUUUUCACGUAAAAUGUUACUGAGCAAAGUGUUCCUUGAGAUGAGAAAAGACACAGUGACAGCAGCUAACAAACAGCUGCCAAAAAAUCUUUAUUCAGUUAUAACCAGAUGCUUUCAGAGUCCUCCAGUAAAACAGAUCACUCUGGAGAAGGUAAACUGUACAUUGAGUCAAACAACAACAGCACCAGAACGCAAUUUGUCAGAAAACACAAUUUACAACAUGUACGAUGGCAGUUUCUACACACAGAGAACGGAUAAGAAAAAAAAAACUGAUACAGGAGUUAACAGUCAGUGUGUAUCGAUUCUUCUUUAAGAAAAAUCCUCAUAUAUUCAUAGAAUUUCAUUAUAUUGUGGAAAAGAAUAUAAGAAAACAUCAUUGGUGCAAUAGAGUAUAGUAUUUGUGAUAGAACAGAUAUAUUGCAAGUGCUUUGUGUGUUAACAAUAAUCCCAUGUAGGCUAUAGACUGAAUGUGUGACGCUGUCUGUGCGUAAUAUGAUGAAACAGGCCUUGUUUUAAAUGUGCAGAGAGAAAACAUUCAGUUUAAACAUGGCUUAGUUUGUGUAUGUGAGGUUUGACGGCAAAAAAAAAUAAUAAUUUCAGAAAUUGUACCAAAUUGCCCUGUAGGUUACAGUGAGAGUGUACACACACUUAGAUGUACUUUAUAAAGGAAUUGAUGUUUUUGGUAAAACGUUUAUUUGGCUUCUUGCCGAGAGUUUGAUGAGACUAUUGAUACCACUCUCAUGUCUAUACGUUAUAAGACAAUAUAACAGUUGGUUAGCAUAGCUUAGCAUAAAGACUGGACACAGGGAGAAACAGCCUUGCCUUGUCCUAUACCAGCACCUCUAAAGCUCACUAAAACAUACAUCAUAUCUCACUUGUAUCCAUACAAAAACCAAAGUGUUAGGGGGGUUAGCUAAGUCAAGCUAACCCGGCCGAUGCCAGCAUCUAACUGCACUUUACCUAUAGAAAGAAAAAUAGACCCAAAACAAGGUUCAGGUUAGAGGUGCUGAACAGAUCUUGUUACCUUCGCUGCAGAUAGAGCCAGACUAGUUCUUUUCCACAGUUUCCAGUCUUAAUGCUAACCUAAGCUAACCAGCUGCUGACUGUAGCUUCAUAUGUAAGGCUCAGACAUGAAAUCAGUGUCAAUCUUCUCAUCUAUCUCUCAGCAAGUAAGCUAAUAAUCUAAUUUCCCCAAAUUUCUCUCUGUUCCUUAGAAAUUUCCUCAAAACUGUGAACCAAACCGAUGAACUUGACGCUGCUCAUUGAAUGACGUCCUGACCCCCC